rnacentral:misc_RNA from 1 species
UCCUCUCUCUCUCUCUCUCUCUCCUCAUCUUGUGGUUAGCGGAAUGAAAAAAUAGGCAAUGAGACGUCCACUGUUGGGAAUUGAAAGUGGGGUGGGCCCACGGCUUGCUUUUGUCAACGAUUUUGUUGGUUAAUGGGAUUAGAUUAGACCCACAUUUACAGGAGAAAUUAUAUAGUAUUUUGAUUAUUUCAUGUAAGCAUAUAAUAUAAAAUGAUAAAUCAACUAUGAAUAAUCAUUGUAUUAUUAUUUUUUACUUAAAUAAUUGUAAUUAUUAUUUUUUUAAAUAAUUGAUGUAGUAUAUAAUUUUCUCAUCUAAAAAGCGGGAUUCAAUCACAAGUUCACAAUCAGCAUAGAUCUCUCCUUGUCAAUGGAUAAAAUUGAUGCAUACAUUUUGCAUAGUCAUUUAGAUCUAAUUUCAUAGUCAUUUUAUUCUAUUAUUAGUUAUUUUUAGCUAAUUUCAUUAGUAAAUUAGUUAGUUUUUCAUAAUUGUCGAUUUUGGAUUAAUUUGUAAUUUUUACUUUGUUUUGUAGGAAAAAUGGUGUUUUUGAAGGUCUAAAAAGAAAUUUUGCCAUUGAGGAGUGACUUCUACAGCCAAAGAUGUCAAAAACAAGUUUUCAAGCUGAAAUAUGCAUUGACCAAAUUGUGCAUAACUUGCCGCAUAAGCUAUGCAGAUCUGCAUAAGGAGAAAAAUCACUGUUCCAAUACCUGCCGAAUUGUGCAUAAGAAGAGUGCAUGGUUUAUGCAGAUUCACGCCCCCUUAUGCAAUCUCACGGAAUUGUGCAUAACCUAUGCACCAAGUCAUGCAGCUUCGCAUAAGUGACCCAGAACCAGCCGAAAACUGCAUAGUGAAUCAGAACCAGCCGAAAACUGCAUAAGGGACUGCAUAACUUAUGCAGUCCACUUAUGCAGUCCCAUAAAGAGUUCAUUAAUGAGCUGGCAGAAGAUUCCCUCAGAAAAUCCCUCCUAAAACACACCAUUUUAGGGCUCCAUGUCAGAAAAAUGCUAUAAAUAGUCUCAUUUUCCCAUUUUAGAGGGAGAGGACAAAGAGCAGAAAAGGAAAGGAGAAGGGAGGCAGAAUUUGAAGAGUCACUUUCACCUUCCACACCAUUUUCAACCAAGAUUUGCAGAUUUCUUUCUUUCCUUACAUUUUUCCUACCUUUCUAGAGUUUAAUUUCUUGUUUCUUAGUUUAGAUUAAAGCUUUAUUUCCAUUUAAACUCAUCAUAUCUUGUAAGCAUUAUGGAUAGUGAGUAGUUUACUUUUGAUUCUGGAGUAAGGGUUGUAAUAUUUGAGAUAUUUUGUGGAUUUUGAUUGGGUAAUCCAUAUUUUGUGGUCUUAAUGAGUUUUAUUCAUUUCUUGUGUGCUUAAUGACAUGCUUAGUGUAUGAUCGCAUUAAGUAUUGUUCUUAAUCCAUGGUUUAAGCACUGAAAGGAGAAAAUUUUGUGAUAGAUAAUCAAGAAAUUGGACUUAAUUAACUUAGAUCUAGAAAUAGACCAAGGGUCAAGAGGGUUUUAAUAGAUUGAUCAAAGAACCUAAUAAAUUUUGGUUAAUUUUAACUCCACGAAA